UUGCCUCACGGCUCUUGGGGCUCUGCACCGUGCUGUUCUGGGGCCAGGAACCUUCGGUCUCUGGCCUUGCAGGAUCCUUCCUCUAGGGUUCGGAGCUGUAGGGUGGGACACAGCUCCACAUCUCCACCUGCCCUAGGCAAUUUGCCCCACACCUCAGCUUUCCGGGGCUGUUCAGUGACCUCAGACCUUGUAAGGUUAGAGAACAGAGUUGGAGCCUCUUGGGCUGGGCUCCAUCCCCAGGACUAGAAAGGAGAAGCCUGGAGCCUCAUUUAGGGGGACAUCUUGGGGGCCACUCCAAGGCCUCACGACCCUAUACCGUGACAAGGACCUGUGGAGCUCCCAGUUAAGCAGCACCCCCACCCCUCCGUGGAGGGACAGCUCUCUCGCUAAUGGAGCGUGAAGGGAAAUAAACAUACUUCUUGCCAUGCGCCAGCAGGCCCCGACAGGAGCCCUGGGUGGUGGUGAAGGUGGCCUGUGUCUAUGGUUUGCUGUGAUGUUCAUCUGCUUUUUUAGUGGAAAAGCCCACAGGUUGUGGUGCUGAUGUGAGCAGGACACCCCAGUGUUCUCUCUCACUUGCUGUGACAAGGCCCUAGCUAUAUUUUUGGAAACAAAUAGUAAAUCCUUCCCCACCGUUGCUGCAUCCGCCACCGUUGCUGGGAAGAGGGCCCUCCCCGGGCAGCCGUCUUCCUCCUGCCACACCUUUGCCCGGGCCCAGGAGCUGCCCAAGCCUAUCUGCUCACGGUCUUGCCAGGGACACAGUUGCCAUCCAGUACUUGCCCCAAUACCAGUACAGACUGGUUCGGUCCGCCAGGAGCCCUGGCACCUGCACUUUAAGCUCCUGGCAGUUUCGUCUCCUAGACGAAGCCCGCCCUGCCCUGCCCGGCUUGCCUGGGAGAGGGGCUGAGCCGGUGCCGAGGGAGGGCCUGUUGGGGGGCUCUGUGCCCCCUGCCUCUCAUUUGUGUGGGUCCUUUUAUGCUCCUCCGGCUCUCAGGCUCCUACAGCCUGGUACCGUGACAUCCAGCACCCAGGUGCUGCCACAAACCUAUGGCUACCAGAGGUGGCAAAGAGGCUGGGGAGGGGGUGACUGGAGAUGAGCCAUUGCCCCAUUGUUUUUAGGGAAAGACUUGGGACCCAGAGCAGGCCUGCUUGACAGGGCUGCACAGCAGACACAGAGCCCUGUGUGUUUGCUCCCCGCUUCACACCGUGGCCCAGAACCAGGGCUCUCCUAGCACCUGCUGCUCGACCUUUGUUCCCAGCGCUUUUGAUGCGGUAGGGGGGACGGGGGACGGGGAGCGGCGUGUCUCUAGCUGUUUAACUCUCAGGGCAGCUGGAAACCCAAGCAUGGUAGCGUCUGGCCGACAUACCGUUGUACCAUUUAGCUUCAGAGCCCUUUCUGCCCAGUUGCCCUGUUGGUUCUCACCAACUGUUCUAGAAUGGGGGUGUUGUUGAUCUCAUCUUACAGAAGAGGAAACUGAGGCUCAGGGAGGGUAGGAGCGUGGCCGAGGUCACGUGGCUGUUUCCUUGACAGUGAGGUCCCUCCCCUGGUAUGUCACGUGCCAGACUCGACUGACUCGCUCCGGGGUCCCCGUGCGUGGCAGGAGCAGGGUGUCCCGUGGCUUAGAGGAGCUCGUCCAGGUGGCCAUCCUCUGGGUCCCCUGGAGCAGGCCCUAAGAGAGUGUUAUGACAUUUGGGCUCUGUCCGAGGGUGGGUACCCGCCGGGGGGGGAGGGGGGGCUCAGUCACUUACAGCAGUGGCAGAGAGAACAAGAUAAAGGACGGCAAUACGACACGAGCGGGAGAUUUAUUAAUGCAAUGGGGGGAAAUCGCGAGGCCUCCAGAAUCAGCUCCUUAAUCAAAUUUGCUAACAACUGAGAUCAUUACCAUACUGACGGCUUAAUUAAUGGUGUCUUAAUUAAGGUGAGCCCCUUUCAGACUGUAACUACACUUAACAGGGUAACCACCGUCUUACGGGCAUGUCACAUCCUGCUGCUUGAACACGGAAAGCUGGGGCUACAGGGAGUUCGCACUGAGUGUGAAAUUCACAGCUUCUGGGGGGUUGGGGGCUGAAGUGGGGCGCCUCCUGCUCAUUCAUUCAUUCACUCUGGCUGGAACUUCUGUGACCCCUCACCUGACAUUCCUCUAUUCCUUCUCUGCCCAGCACUGUCUCCAUCUGCCCGCUGCCGUUGGUUGAUUGGUUCACCUGCUAGAACGUACCAGGGCAGAGAGGUUGACAGUGUGUUAGCUGCUGCUACCCUAGCAUCUAGAAAAGCACAGGCAUAUAGUAACUGCUCAGUAAAUCUCUGUUGAAUGAAUGAAUUAUGGAUCUGCAGCGGGCACUGCCCUAAGCAGUGGGGCACAUUGCUGAGUAAUAGAUAGUUUCUGCCUUCUGGGAGCCUGAAGGCCGGUGGGCGAGACAGACAUGAACAGACACUCUCAAUACACAGUGCCAAGGGCCGGGACAGGAAGACGACUCGGCAAUGGGGAGGGUCACUGCAUCCUACAGCAGGCAUGUAGUGUGAAUGGGAAUUUUCCAGGUGGUCAAGGAGGGACGAGCACUCCAGGUACACAAAUGUCAGGCCACGAUCGCAAGAAUUUUGCAGGCAUAAGCUCAUUUGACCUUCACAGUGACCCUGGGAGGUGGGGCUGUUAUUAUCCCUAUUGUGCUGACAAUGCCACUGAGUUAUCAAAUAACUUGUCCCAGGUGGCACCCGGUGAGGGGGUAGCACAGGGCUUGAGGCUGCACAGCCAGCCCCUAAAGCCCAGCUCCGGUGCUGUGUGUAUACUAAAGGCUUUUACUGAAAGCAGCUACGUCUGGUCUGAGCCCCAAGCGUGAGGGAAAAGACGGAGACGACACUGAAAAUGUGGGCAGGACCCAAGGCAGAAGUCACCUGGAGUGACAGGAGUAGACUCUCUCUGCAGGGCUGAGGACCGGUGCUGGGUCUGAUGGGCUACUACGAGACAGGAAGACCAGCAACCCCCUGUCUUGGUCCUUCCAGGAGAAGCCUGUAUGGUCACUGACCUCUGUCGCCCUCCCCUCCCUGACAGGAACAGACAAACUUCCCCCUCUGGCCUGAGACACAGUAACUCUAAGCCACCUGUAGCAGCCUGGACCCCACCACAGAACUCUGCAGGUAGCCCUUCCAGAAAGCGCAGGCUGCCCGGAAUUCUUACAGCAGCGACCGUGUUCUUUUUAAAACUGACAGAACUUCCCAAGUUCGGAAGCUCCUAGGGAAUUAGCUGGUCGCACAUCAAACCCAUCGGGGAGCUUUUAAAAAUGAAGGUGCACGAGAACAGACGUUUUACCAAAGAAGAUACGCGGGUGGCAGGUAAACACAUGAAACAAUAAUGGUCAACAACAUGGGCCGUCAGUGAGAUGCACCCCAAAACCACAGUGAGCUCUCACCCCGUAGCUAUUAGAGUGGCUGAUGUAAAAAAAAAAAAAAAAAAAAAAAAAAAAAAUAGUAGCAGCAUGAGACGCUGGCAGGGAUGCGGAGAAACCGGACCGCUGCUGCCUCGCUGUUGGGAAUGUAAGACGGUCCAGCUGCUCCGGAAGACAGUUUGGCGGUUUCCUUUCAGAGUAAAUGCACGCUUCUCGUAUGACCUAGCUAUUGCACUCUUGGGCAUUUAUUCCAGAGAAAUGAAGACUUAUGGUCACACAACAUCCUGUAUCAGAAUGGUCAUCGUGGUUCUAUUCAGAACAGCCCCCAAACUGGAAGGUGCCCAGAUGCCCUUCGGGGGGCGAAUGGAUACUAAACUGGUGCAUCUGUGCCGUGGCGCACGUAUUCCGCAGCCGUCAAGAGGAAGGAAGUAAUGAUGAACCUCCAGGGACACUGAGUGAAAAUCUACGAUUUCAUUUGUAUAGCAUUCCUGAAAGGGCAAAAUGGUGGAGCCCGGGGACAGACUGGUGGCUGUCGGCGGGGAGGGACUGCGGAGGACAGGUGGGCGUGGCUAUGGGGGGUAGCACCGAGAGCCUGGUGAUGGAACAGUUGUGUGAUUGAUCAUGGCGGGGGACUACCGCAAGCGACCCGGGUGUAAAAUUACAUGGAGACCCACAUGCACACACACGCAUGUGCUCAUCUGGUGGAGUCAGAAUAACCUCGGCGGAUUUACCUAUGUCAGUUUCCUGGUCUGGAUGGUGUCUGUAGUUGCACAAGGGGUUAUGGCUGGAGGAGGCUGGGGAUGGGGGUUCAUGAGACCUCCCAGGACGUUGUAUUUUACAGCUUCCUGUGAAGCUAUGGUUUUUUCAAAGGAAAGAAUUAGAACAAAGCAAAGGUGCAGAAACACACCCCCAGAGGCUGUAUGACUUAAUUGGUCCGUCUUAGGGCCCAGGCAUCCGUACAUCAGUGUUUCUCAGAGGCUCCGUUCCUGCUGUACAGCCAGGAAUAGACACACUGACCACUUCCUCAUUCAGCAGAGGGAAACUGAGGCCAGAGAGGGGAAGGGGUUUUCCCAGGGCCACAGAGCUGCUGCAGGGUGACUGAAGAGGAUGGCAUCCAGCUGCAAGCGGCCCAAGGUUUUUCCUGCUGCCCCCGGCUGGGACUGAACCAGGCAGUUUGUUUUCAUGUAAACUUUUAUUAAAAUACAGUGUACAACUUAUUGCAUUGUCACAAACAACACACUCACGUAAUCAGCACCAAGGCCCCAAAACCAAGACGAUCCAGGCCCCCUCUAGAACCCCACUCAUGAUCAAGCCCCCUGGGGCCCCCCUGGGGCCCUGCCAGUCUUGGCCCAUCCCCCAAGGGAGCCCUCCCCUGACUUCUUACAGCACACAGAGUAGUUUUUCCUGUUCCUGAACUUUGUGUAAAUAGUUGGGUGCUGUUUAGAAGCUGUGCCAGGGGAGACUGGAGCAGCCAGUUUAUUCUGAAGGAAAAGGAAGUGGCCUCCCCAGGAGCCCCAUAAAGGAGGGCUGGGGGUGGGGGUGUCCCGGGGCGGUCUUCCUUGUCCAGGGUGGCCGGAAUGGGCUAUUUAUGCCCUGAGCUAGAACUGGAGACCAGAAGAGAGGAGCUGGAGCCCUGCCUGGCUGACUGAGAGCCCUGUGUCCAUGAACCUGGUCCAGGGUCCCCCAAAGAUCCUGGGGCCCCUGAGCAGGGGGAGGUACAGCAGCACCAGUCCUCAUGUAGGACUGGUGGCAUUGAAGAAACCACCUCUCAGUUUCCCUGCAUAUAAAAUGAGGAUUUUAUAUAUGUGAAUAACACAAAUAUCUACUAAUGUAGAACCAAUGUGAAUGUAACACAUUAAUAUUUCACUUCUAUACUGUUGGUGUUAGACAUUAAUAUAUUCUAUAUCGUAUGUUACAUAAGACAUAUUGAGUAAUAUGCAAAUCUUUUGAAUCCUAUCUAUACUAAUGAUAGCUGGCGUUUAUGGAAUGCUGAUUCUGUAUCUGGCAUUGUCUUAAGUGCUUUAAAUGUAUAAACCAAUAGGGUAGCUGGGUGGCUUGGUCAGUUAAGCAUCCA